AUCCCUUGCUGGUCUCCAGGCUGUUGGUGGGCGGGUACGAGGCCUGGGCGCUGCGGCCGCAGGACCAGAGGACCUGCCCCGCAGCUGUCCCUGCGCAGGUGCUGAAGAUUCCCCGAGGGCUCCGAGACUGGAUAGAUGGGGGAGCUGGCGAGGACGGAAUCACUGGCAUUUAAGGAUGUGGCUGUGGGAUUCAGCUGGGAGAAAUGGAGAAUGCUGGGCCUUCUGCAAAGGGACCUGUACAGGAAUACGAUGCUGGAAAACUAUGAGAAUCUUGUCUCCCUAGAUACCCUGAAGCAGGAGACUAGAUGUGAAAUCAGUGACUCACAUCUUAUGAAGGAUAUUUGCAUGGGAACAUCAUCCCAGAAAAAAACUUCAAAAGCAUAGCUUCUGCCAAUCCAAAUUGGGAAAUGCUAUGGAAUGUAAUCUUAAUUUAGAGAGACAACAGGAGGUACAAUCAAAACAAGUAGUAGUUCCUCAGGGAAUAGUUUUAAAGAAAAUUAACAUGCCUCCAUGUAAUUCAUUUCGGAGAAGUGUUAGCCGGAGUCUGUGUUUGUUCUGUCAUGUAGGAACCCCUUUAGUUAUAAUUCCUACAAUGUUAAACUUCGUAUAAUUCACUCCGUAGAAAAACUAAAUGAACUCAUUGAAUGUGGAAAAGCCUUUGACAGAAGACCCUAUCUCAGAGGACAUGAGAGAAUUCCUUUUGGGGAGAAACCCUAUGAAUGUCAUAAAUGUGGAAAAACUUUCAGACACAAGAGAAGCUUGAGAAAACAUGAGAGAAUUCAUACUGGAGAGAAACCCUUUGGAUGUAAUGAGUGUGGAAAAUCCUUUGAUGAGAAAGGAAGUCUUGUUAGACAUCAGAGAACUCAUACUGGAGAGAAACCUUUUGAAUGUAAUCAAUGUGGGAAAUCCUACAGUAAGAGGGGAAACCUUAUUAGUCAUCAGAGAACUCAUACAGGAGUGAAACCCUUUCGAUGCAGUGAAUGUGGUUAAGCCUUUAGUGAGAGGUGAACCCUUGUUAUAUAUCAGAGAACUCAUACUGGAGUGAAACCCUUUGAAUGUAAUCAGUGUAGGAAAGGUUUCAGGCAGCAGGGCCAUCUCAUUUGCCAUCAGAUAACUCAUAUUAGAGUGAAACCCUUUGAAUGUAAUGACUGUGGGAAAGCCUUUUGUGAGCGGACAAGCCUAAAGAAACAUCAGAUAAUUCAUAUAAGAGAAACUAUUUUUAAUACAAUAAAUGUGAGAAAGUCUUUGGUGAGAAGGAAGUCUUUAAUAAAAAUUAGAGAAUUCAUGUUGGAAAGAAAUCUUUUAAUUUUAGUAAUAUAAUUUGAAAAUUCAGGCACAGUGGAAACUUAAAAUAAUUUAUGUUUAGAAGAGAGAAUAUCUGUGUAUUGAGCGUGGGUAGGCCAUCAAUUUUUUAUCCUUUAUUUGUCAUCAGAUACUCCCUAAGGGAGAGAAACAAGACAAAAAUAUCGAAUAGGUACGUUUUCUAUCCCAGUGGGUGGGAGCACCUCUCUCCUAGAAUGUAAGCUGCUUUCAGGCUAUAAUUAUUUCAUUUAGGUUUUGUAUGCUUUGUAUUUAACAUAAUGUUGAGUACGUAGAUAACUCUUAAAUACUGAAUUUGUUAAGCUAUCAGAUAGUUUACUACCUGUCAGAAUGUACUCUUGUGAGAAACCUUUUAAAUUCAUUUUGGAAAGUGCUUCAGAAUCAUUAAUGAAAUAAUGUGGAAGAAACAGAUUCUGUAUCAUAUUUGCUAUGAGAAUAAUAAAACCUAGCAUUUAUAUAAAUUUAAGGUUUACAAAGUACUUUACAUGUUAUCUCAUCUGACCCUCAUAAUAACCAGGUGAGGUAUGUGUUAUUAUUAUCUCCCUUUUACAGAUAAGGAACGAUAGAAAAGUUAAAAGACUUUGGCCAGGUCCAUAUAGCUAAUAAGUCUUUGAGGCAGGAUUUUAACUCAUAUUUUCUUGAUUCCAAGUCCCUCUAUCUAUUCUGCAACCUAGUAUUAAACCCACAUCCUGGACCCUGGGUUCUUGAAGGGUCUCAAUUUUUUUUUAGAACUUUGUUGUCCCUGUUUCAAUAUAAUUGGUUUCCUCUGUAAUCCUGUGUAUUUUAUUUUAUGGAUUUGAAAACAUUAUUUUGAGGAAUCUAUCAGUUUUACCCAACAAUCCAGGGCACAAAUAGGUUAAGAAUUCCUUUCAUAGACUGCUAGAGGUUAAUGGCAGUGAUGUAUGAAUUUGGGAAAUGCUUCAUAAAGACUCAUCUUUUGUUAAAUACUGAUAUUAGAACUCUAGAUUGCAGAAUGUCACCAGUUUUUCUAUUUGGUUCUUUGCAAGAAAAAAAAUUGGUUUUCUUUUAUUAUCUUUGCUGUAACACACCAGGAGGUACCAGAUGGCAUAAGUUAUUGAUGGUUUUAGCAAAACCAUGUAUGGAUUUUGGGGAGACAGUGAUAUGGAGAAAUCACACAUUUAUUUUUUAUUCUAAAUUUAGUAACUAAAAAAAAUUAUAUGUGAAAGAGUAAUUUCCUUUAUUUACAUUUGCUAAAUGAAACAUGUAUACCUUUAUUUUUAAAAAAUGGUAACAAAAAGUUUCUGUUUUCUUCCUUGCCAAUUUCUGAAUUUGUUUUAUUUUGUGUAGUUUUCUGGAUUAUGACAAUGUUUCAUAUGUUGCUAUAGUUUGUAUGUUGUGAUCACAGUUUUUUCACUUUGCAUCACUUCAUGUAAGUAAUCUUCCCUCUCUGCUUUCUGGGGGCAGCUAGAUGG